GACUUAAGCAUAUCAAUAAGCGGAGGAAAAGAAACCAACAGGGAUUGCCCUAGUAACGGCGAGUGAAGCGGCAACAGCUCAAAUUUGAAAGCUGGCUCCGGCCCGCAUUGUAAUUUGCAGAGGAUGCUUUUGGCGAGGUGCCUUCCGAGUUCCCUGGAACGGGACGCCAUAGAGGGUGAGAGCCCCGUAUGGAUGGACACCAAACCUGUGUAAAGCUCCUUCAACGAGUCGAGUAGUUUGGGAAUGCUGCUCUAAAUGGGAGGUAAAUCUCUUCUAAAGCUAAAUACCGGCCAGAGACCGAUAGCGCACAAGUAGAGUGAUCGAAAGAUGAAAAGCACCUUGAAAAGGGGGUUAAACAGUACGUGAAAUUGUUGAAAGGGAAGCGCUUGUGACCAGACUUGCGCCGGGCAGCUCAUCAGGGGUUCUCCCCUGUGCACUCUGCCCGGCUCAGGCCAGCAUCGGUUCUCGUGGGAGGAUAAGAACAGUGGGAACGUGGCCCCCUCUCGGGGGGGUGUUAUAGCCCAUUGUACGAUACUCUCGUGGGGACCGAGGUUCGCGCUCCGCAAGGAUGCUGGCGUAAUGGUCAUCAGCGACCCGUCUUGAAACACGGACCAAGGAGUCGUCCAUUAGAGCGAGCGUUUGGGUGUAAAACCCGCACGCGUAAUGAAAGUGAACGCAGGUGAGAGCUUCGGCGCAUCAUCGACCGAUCCUGAUGUCUUCGGAUGGAUUUGAGUAAGAGUUUUAACGGACGGACCCGAAAGACAGUGAACUAUGCUUGUAUAGGGUGAAGCCAGAGGAAACUCUGGUGGAGGCUCGCAGCGGUUCUGACGUGCAAAUCGAUCGUCAAAUAUGAGCAUGGGGGCGAAAGACUAAUCGAACUGUCUAGUAGCUGGUUACCGCCGAAGUUCCCCUCAGGAUA
rnacentral:rRNA from 1 species